CGACCUCAGAUCAGACGAGACAACCCGCUGAACUUAAGCAUAUCAGUAAGCGGAGGAAAAGAAACUAACCAGGAUUCCCCUAGUAGCGGCGAGCGAAGAGGGAAAAGCCCAGCGCCGAAUCCCCGCCCGCCCAGUCGGGCGCGGGACAUGUGGCGUACGGAAGAUUGUUUUCCCGGUGUCGGCGUGGGGGCCCGAGUCCUUCUGAUUGAGGCUCAACCCAGGGACGGUGUGAGGCCGGUAGCGGCCCCCGUCGCGCCGGGGCGCAGUCUUCCCGGAGUCGGGUUGCUUGGGAAUGCAGCCCAAAGUGGGUGGUAAACUCCAUCUAAGGCUAAAUACUGGCACGAGACCGAUAGUCGACAAGUACCGUAAGGGAAAGUUGAAAAGAACUUUGAAGAGAGAGUUCAACAGGGCGUGAAACCGUUAAGAGGUAAACGGGUGGGGUCCGCGCAGUCUGCCCGGGGGACUCAACCCGGCGGGUCAUGGUACGGCGGCUCGGUGUCGUGUGGAUCGUCUAGUCGGCGACCACCGCCCCUGUCGUCUCCGGCCCCGUCGGGCGCAUUUUCUCCGCGGUGGUGCGCGCGACCGGCUCUGGGUCGGCUUGGAAGAGUUUGGGGUGAAGGUGGCCGGAGGCUCGACCGCCUCUGGCUUUACAGCACUCUCUGCUCCGACCUCGUCGCUUCCUGGGGCCGUGGACGCAGUACCUCGCUGUGCCUUCCUCCUCCCACCCGGGGGACGGGGCCCCCGCGCCCCGGCGUGACUGUCAACCGGGACGGACUGUCCUCAGUGCGUCUCAACCGCGUCGCGUCGUUCAGGGCGGGACCGCUCACGUACACUCGGCGCAAGGGGUCAGCGGCGAUGUCGGCUACCCACCCGACCCGUCUUGAAACACGGACCAAGGAGUCUAACGCAUGCGCGAGUCAGAGGGUCCUACGAAACCCCGCGGCGUAAUGAAAGUGAGGGCGGCGCGCGCGCCGGCCGAGGUGGGAUCCCGGCCCCGGGGCUCGGGCGCACCACCGCCCGCCUCCGCCCGUUCCUCCUACGGGAGGUGGAGCUUGAGCGUAUGCGAUAGUACCCGAAAGAUGGUGAACUAUGCCUGGGCAGGGCGAAGCCAGAGGAAACUCUGGUGGAGGCCCGUAGCGGUCCUGACGUGCAAAUCGGUCGUCCGACCUGGGCAUAGGGGCGAAGACUAAUCGAACCAUCUAGUAGCUGGUUCCUCCGAAGUUUCCUCAGGAUAGCUGGCGCUCAUUACUCGCAGUUUUAUCUGGUAAAGCGAAUGACUAGAGGCCUUGGGGCCGAAACGAUCUCAACCUAUUCUCAAACUUUAAAUGGGUAGAGGCCCUGCUCGCUGGCUUGGAGCAGGGCGUGGAAUGCGAGUGCCCAGUGGGCCACUUUUGGUAAGCAGAACUGGCGCUGCGGGAUGAACCGAACGCCGGGUUAAGGCGCCCGAUGCCGACGCUCAUCAGACCCCAGAAAAGGUGUUGGUUGAUAUAGACAGCAGGACGGUGGCCAUGGAAGUCGGAAUCCGCUAAGGAGUGUGUAACAACUCACCUGCCGAAUCAACUAGCCCUGAAAAUGGAUGGCGCUGGAGCGUCGGGCCCAUACCCGGAGAACACCCAGGAGGUGACCGAUGCCACGACAGGGACCCCCACCAGCGUGCUUAAGGUCGUGGUAGAGAGUGUCCGACGGUACUGGAGCCUCUGCCACAUUGACUAUGACUUACGGACCGUCAUAAGCGUCUUAUAAUGGAGUGGCAAGUACACGACGUGCGUGUCAUAAACCAGCGUAUUAAGGUUCUGCGGCUGGGUCACUCCAAGAGAAGAUAGCUCGCACUAGGUCGGCAGCAAGGAAGGUCCCCCCUUCCCCCCCGAAUCCUAAUUGAGUCAUCACACUGGCGGGCCCAACCGACCCUAUGCACUCGGGUGCACUGGUGUUAAUUGUGGGCUUGUAGGUGGUAGCAUGGACGACCUGGUUUUGGGGUGUUGCUGAUCUACUGGUGUUCACACAUAUCGAGAUUGGAGCGGCUCCGGCCUUCCUUUCUCACAUUGGGGCAGUCGCAGGCCUAUAAACAGGCCUCCGUCGCUCCGGAGGUCUUUACUGUCUAAUUUAGACAGGAGGUGACGGGCAAUUAUGCCUCCCCCUCCUGCCGCAGGAGACGUGGCCCUCGGGGUCCCGUCACCUUGAAACCUUAGUGCGAAAGGGUCUUACCCGAAUAACACUGAAGGAAAGUUGUCUCGGUCUGGGUGGUGGAUAAAGGAUUAGCAGUUGACUGGACAUGGGCGGCCUAAGGGUUACGCUCCCCUGUCUUUGUCAGAAAAAUGCAAUAAAUCCUCCAUGCACUUAGUAGCUGUUUGGCGAUGGAUAUUAAAGGUCCCAUAUACUGCAGGAUUUAGUUGGGAGUUAAGAUGUAAUUAAAACAGGGCAUGAGGGGUAGGUCUUCCUACCAACCUCCAGUCAUUUAUGUGUAAGUCUAACAGUAAGUACGAGGGGUAGGGUACCCACC
ensembl:rRNA Eukaryotic large subunit ribosomal RNA